AUAUGGUCAAGUGAAGAAGCGCAUACGGUGGAUGCCUUGGCAGUCAGAGGCGAUGAAAGACGUGGUAGCCUGCGAAAAGCUUCGGGGAGUCGGCAAACAGACUUUGAUCCGGAGAUGUCUGAAUGGGGGAACCCAGCCAUCAUAAGAUGGUUAUCUUACGCUGAAUACAUAGGCGUAAGAGGCGAACCAGGGGAACUGAAACAUCUAAGUACCCUGAGGAAAAGAAAUCAACCGAGAUUCCCUUAGUAGUGGCGAGCGAACGGGGACUAGCCCUUAAGUGGCUUUGAGAUUAGCGGAACGCUCUGGAAAGUGCGGCCAUAGUGGGUGAUAGCCCUGUACGCGAAAAUCUCUUAGUCAUGAAAUCGAGUAGGACGGAGCACGAGAAACUUUGUCUGAAUAUGGGGGGACCAUCCUCCAAGGCUAAAUACUACUGACUGACCGAUAGUGAACUAGUACCGUGAGGGAAAGGCGAAAAGAACCCCGGAGAGGGGAGUGAAAUAGAUCCUGAAACCGUAUGCGUACAAGCAGUGGGAGCCCACUUUGUUGGGUGACUGCGUACCUUUUGUAUAAUGGGUCAGCGACUUAUUUUCAGUGGCGAGCUUAACCGAAUAGGGGAGGCGUAGCGAAAGCGAGUCUUAAUAGGGCGUCUAGUCGCUGGGAAUAGACCCGAAACCGGGCGAUCUAUCCAUGGGCAGGUUGAAGGUUGGGUAACACUAACUGGAGGACCGAACCGACUACCGUUGAAAAGUUAGCGGAUGACCUGUGGAUCGGAGUGAAAGGCUAAUCAAGCUCGGAGAUAGCUGGUUCUCCUCGAAAGCUAUUUAGGUAGCGCCUCAUGUAUCACUGUAGGGGGUAGAGCACUGUUUCGGCUAGGGGGUCAUCCCGACUUACCAAACCGAUGCAAACUCCGAAUACCUACAAGUGCCGAGCAUGGGAGACACACGGCGGGUGCUAACGUCCGUCGUGAAAAGGGAAACAACCCAGACCGUCAGCUAAGGUCCCAAAGUUAUGGUUAAGUGGGAAACGAUGUGGGAAGGCUUAGACAGCUAGGAGGUUGGCUUAGAAGCAGCCACCCUUUAAAGAAAGCGUAAUAGCUCACUAGUCGAGUCGGCCUGCGCGGAAGAUGUAACGGGGCUCAAACCAUACACCGAAGCUACGGGUAUCACGUAAGUGAUGCGGUAGAGGAGCGUUCUGUAAGCCUGUGAAGGUGAGUUGAGAAGCUUGCUGGAGGUAUCAGAAGUGCGAAUGCUGACAUGAGUAACGACAAUGGGUGUGAAAAACACCCACGCCGAAAGACCAAGGUUUCCUGCGCAACGUUAAUCGACGCAGGGUUAGUCGGUCCCUAAGGCGAGGCUGAAAAGCGUAGUCGAUGGAAAACAGGUUAAUAUUCCUGUACUUCUGGUUAUUGCGAUGGAGGGACGGAGAAGGCUAGGCCAGCUUGGCGUUGGUUGUCCAAGUUUAAGGUGGUAGGCUGGAAUCUUAGGUAAAUCCGGGAUUCUAAGGCCGAGAGCUGAUGACGAGCUAACUUUUAGUUAGCGAAGUGGUUGAUGCCAUGCUUCCAAGAAAAGCUUCUAAGCUUCAGGUAACCAGGAACCGUACCCCAAACCGACACAGGUGGUUGGGUAGAGAAUACCAAGGCGCUUGAGAGAACUCGGGUGAAGGAACUAGGCAAAAUGGCACCGUAACUUCGGGAGAAGGUGCGCCGGUGAGGGUGAAGGACUUGCUCCGUAAGCUCAUGCCGGUCGAAGAUACCAGGCCGCUGCGACUGUUUAUUAAAAACACAGCACUCUGCAAACACGAAAGUGGACGUAUAGGGUGUGACGCCUGCCCGGUGCCGGAAGGUUAAUUGAUGGGGUUAGCUAACGCGAAGCUCUUGAUCGAAGCCCCGGUAAACGGCGGCCGUAACUAUAACGGUCCUAAGGUAGCGAAAUUCCUUGUCGGGUAAGUUCCGACCUGCACGAAUGGCGUAACGAUGGCGGCGCUGUCUCCACCCGAGACUCAGUGAAAUUGAAAUCGCUGUGAAGAUGCAGUGUAUCCGCGGCUAGACGGAAAGACCCCGUGAACCUUUACUAUAGCUUUGCACUGGACUUUGAAUUUGCUUGUGUAGGAUAGGUGGGAGGCUUUGAAGCGUGGACGCCAGUCUGCGUGGAGCCAACCUUGAAAUACCACCCUGGCAACUUUGAGGUUCUAACUCAGGUCCGUUAUCCGGAUCGAGGACAGUGUAUGGUGGGUAGUUUGACUGGGGCGGUCUCCUCCUAAAGAGUAACGGAGGAGUACGAAGGUGCGCUCAGACCGGUCGGAAAUCGGUCGUAGAGUAUAAAGGCAAAAGCGCGCUUGACUGCGAGACAGACACGUCGAGCAGGUACGAAAGUAGGUCUUAGUGAUCCGGUGGUUCUGUAUGGAAGGGCCAUCGCUCAACGGAUAAAAGGUACUCCGGGGAUAACAGGCUGAUACCGCCCAAGAGUUCAUAUCGACGGCGGUGUUUGGCACCUCGAUGUCGGCUCAUCACAUCCUGGGGCUGAAGCCGGUCCCAAGGGUAUGGCUGUUCGCCAUUUAAAGUGGUACGCGAGCUGGGUUUAGAACGUCGUGAGACAGUUCGGUCCCUAUCUGCCGUGGACGUUUGAGAUUUGAGAGGGGCUGCUCCUAGUACGAGAGGACCGGAGUGGACGAACCUCUGGUGUUCCGGUUGUCACGCCAGUGGCAUUGCCGGGUAGCUAUGUUCGGAAUAGAUAACCGCUGAAAGCAUCUAAGCGGGAAACUAGCCUCAAGAUGAGAUCUCACUGGAACCUUGAGUUCCCUGAAGGGCCGUCGAAGACUACGACGUUGAUAGGUUGGGUGUGUAAGCGCUGUGAGGCGUUGAGCUAACCAAUACUAAUUGCCCGUGAGGCUUGACCAU
rnacentral:rRNA from 1 species